rnacentral:rRNA from 1 species
GACAGCGGGUGCAAACGUUGUUCGGAAUUACUGGGCGUAAAGCGUGUGUAGGCGGUCUUGUAAGUCGGGUGUGAAAGCCCCGGGCUCAACCCGGGAAGUGCACUCGAAACUGCGAGGCUAGAGUAUCGGAGAGGUUGGUGGAAUUCUCGGUGUAGAGGUGAAAUUCGUAGAUAUCGAGAGGAACACCGGUGGCGAAGGCGGCCAACUGGACGAAUACUGACGCUGAGACUCGAAGGCGUGGGGAGCAAACAGG